AUGAGCUCAACUGGAAGGGCUUCUCUGCUGAGAUCAGGUGACGCAUGGGUUAUUCUGCCUUCUUUCUCAUCCAACAUGCCCCCAACUUCUAAAUCUCUUAUAUCAGCUCCUGACCGAGGUUCGUCCCAUGAUACUGGCUUCCUGCCCAAUUCAAGGUCUCCAACAGGUUUGCCCAUGUUUGGGCUCAUGAAGCCCCUGGUUGGUGGGCGUGAUUGCUGUAAACCUUGCUCUACUGGGACCCUAGCUCGGAAAUAA
rnacentral:rRNA from 1 species